rnacentral:rRNA from 1 species
UACAGAGGGUGCAAGCGUUGUUCGGAAUCACUGGGCGUAAAGCGCACGUAGGCGGAUUUCUAAGUCAGGGGUGAAAUCCUGGAGCUCAACUCCAGAACUGCCUUUGAUACUGAGGAGCUUGAGUCCGGGAGAGGUGAGUGGAACUGCGAGUGUAGAGGUGAAAUUCGUAGAUAUUCGCAAGAACACCAGUGGCGAAGGCGGCUCACUGGCCCGGUACUGACGCUGAGGUGCGAAAGCGUGGGGAGCAAACAGG